rfam:Oryza sativa (indica cultivar-group) chromosome 6, whole genome shotgun sequence.
AAAAAGCCAAAUCCUGGGUUUUUUUGUCCAACGUUUGAUUGUCCGUCUUAUAUAAAAUUUUUUUAUAAUUAGUAUUUUCAUUGUUGUUAGAUGAUAAAACAUGAUUAAUACUUUAUGCGUGACUUGUCUUUUUUAAUUUUUUUCUUAUUUUUUUCAAAUAAGACGGAUAGUUAAACGUUGGACACGGAAACCCAGGGUUUGUCUUUUU